rnacentral:lncRNA from 1 species
ACAUUUUGCAGCUACAGCGCCAGGAGCUCAGCUGGUUAUUUCUAGCUUGCUGAAUGUCAAAAAUCCGGGCUGCUUCUCAUAGCAGCCUCCACUUGUCAGACCAAAUCAAGGCAUCAGCCUGUCAAGCAGCCAAAUCAGCUGCCCCAAGCACCAGCCUGGAGGCGCCGGUCCAGCCUCUUGCAGUGCACCUGACCCGGGCCCCCCCGCAGUGCACCUGACCCAAUGGAGCUCAGUGCUCAGCUUGCUGUGAGCCCUCUGCCCACGCUCCUGGGGCGCGGCUCUCACCUGCAGCCCGGAGCCUGGUGCUUGAGCACAGUCAGAAGUGAAGUCUUCACGGGCUUGUGCAGCUGUCUGGGUUUUCCCCGUGUUGGGGCCAGCUGGCAGACUGCCCCGAGAGAAUGUGACCAUGGGAGCUGGUCUCUGAUGCUGAGCUCUGACCCCAGUGAAGAGAUUAGUCUGGCUUUCCUCUGGUCUCUUUUGGAAUCGCUUGGAACCUUCCUUUGCUUUUGCCUUGUUUUCUUAGAAUAGCUCUCACCCCCCUAACUCAAGUUCUUCCCCAGAUCUAAAGUACCCAGAAGGUUUGUUUCUCUGUCCAAAUAAAAGCAACCCAAGAGACACUGAAA